rnacentral:rRNA from 1 species
UUUGCCUACGGGGCGCAGCAGUGGGGGAUAUUGCACAAUGGGGGAAACCCUGAUGCAGCAACGCCGCGUGGGUGAAGAAGGUCUUCGGAUCGUAAAACCCUGUUGUUAGAGAAGAAAGUGCGUGAGAGUAACUGUUCACGUUUCGACGGUAUCUAACCAGAAAGCCACGGCUAACUACGUGCCAGCAGCCGCGGUAAUACGUAGGUGGCAAGCGUUAUCCGGAUUUAUUGGGCGUAAAGGGAACGCAGGCGGUCUUUUAAGUCUGAUGUGAAAGCCUUCGGCUUAUCCGGAGCAGUGCAUUGGAA